rnacentral:rRNA from 1 species
UACGUAGGGUGCAAGCGUUGUCCGGAAUUAUUGGGCGUAAAGGGCUCGUAGGCGGUCCAUCGCGUCGGGAGUGAAAAUCCGGGGCUCAACCCCGGACCUGCAUCCGAUACUGCGUGACUAGAGGUAGGUAGGGGAGAUCGGAAUUCCUGGUGUAGCGGUGAAAUGCGCAGAUAUCAGGAGGAACACCGGUGGCGAAGGCGGGUCUCUGGGCCGAUACUGACGCUGAGGAGCGAAAGCGUGGGGAGCGAACAGG